rnacentral:tRNA from 3 species
AGCCCGGUGGUGUAGUGGACUAGCAAGGGUCGAAACCCAUCGACGGGAGUUCGAAUCUCCCCCGGGCUACCA